AGAGUUUGAUCCUGGCUCAGGAUAAACGCUGGCGGCGUGCCUAACACAUGCAAGUCGAACGCUCUUCGCUUUGCGGAGAGAGUGGCGGACGGGUGAGGAACACGUGGAUACCUACCCUUUGGUGAGGAAUACCGGCGAGAAAUCGCCGACAAUACCGCAUAGGUUUGGAAACAAACAAAGCCCGGCAACGGGUGCCAGAGGAUGGGUCUGCGCCUGAUUAGCCUGUUGGUGGGGUAAUGGCCUACCAAAGCGACGAUCAGUAGCUGGUCUGAGAGGACGAUCAGCCACACUGGGAUUGAGAACGGCCCAGACUCCUACGGGGGGCAGCAGUGAGGAAUUUUCGGCAAUGGGGGAAACCCUGACCGAGCAACGCCGCGUGCAGGAUGACGGCCUUCGGGUUGUAAACUGCUUUUCUUUGGGACGAGUAAGGACGGUACCAGAGGAACAAGCCCCGGCUAACUACGUGCCAGCAGCCGCGGUAAUACGUAGGGGGCGAGCGUUGUCCGGAGUUACUGGGCGUAAAGCGCACGCAGGCGGUCUGUUAAGUUUGGAGUGACAGUUGGUGGCUCAACCGCCAAAGUGCUUUGAAAACUGGCAGACUUGAGGGCUUCAGAGGGACACGGAAUUCCGGGUGGAGUGGUGAAAUGCGUAGAGAUCCGGAGGAACACCGAAGGCGAAGGCAGUGUCCUGGGGAGUACCUGACGCUCAGGUGCGAAAGCUAGGGGAGCGAACGGGAUUAGAUACCCUAGUAGUCC
rnacentral:rRNA from 1 species